GACGAACGCUGGCGGCGUGCUUAACACAUGCAAGUCGAACGGCAAGGCACUGCUUUUGUGGGGUGCUCGAGUGGCGAACGGGUGAGUAACACGAGAGUAACCUGCCCUUGACUUUGGGAUAACUUCAGGAAACUGGGGCUAAUAUCGGAUCGGAGAUCCUGCUGCAUGGUGGGCGUUGGAAAGUUUCGGCGGUUGGGGAUGGACUCGCGGCUUAUCAGCUUGCUGGUGGGGUAGUGGCUUACCCAGGCUUUGACGGGUAGCCGGCCUGAGAGGGUGACCGGCGACAAUGGUACUAAGAGAGGCCGCAGACUCCAACGGUGGGCAGCGGUGGGGAGUAUGGCACAAUGGGCGGAAGCCUGAGGCAGCGGCGCCGGGGGCGGAAUGACGUUCUGCUGGGUAAGAACCGCUGUCGGCUGAGACGAAGCGGGAGUGACGGUAACGAGUAAAGAAGCACCGGCUAACUACGUG
rnacentral:rRNA from 1 species